UUAAAAGUAUUUGGAAACUAAAUUUCAUAAUUUUUCGACAUCAUUUGGCUAGUGAUCAAAAGGUUCCAAAAUUAACAAUUUUAAUGGUAGAUAUGAUGCGUUUUUAAGUUCAACGGUGUAGAAGUAUCCAAAUUAGAUGAAAAUUUAAUAGAAAAUUCUACUUAACAUCAAUAGCAAGACCAAUACUUCCGAUUUGAAAUGUGAGUCCUUUAUCACUGUUUUUUAUGAGAUUUUCAUUUUCAGACAUUUAUUUUGAGGCUACUCGUUUACUAGACUAACGAAGUCAAAAAAUUAUAAAAUUUGGUUUCUAGGUAGUUCCAACAGUGUAGAUCAUGUCUAAUAGAACAGAUCACCGAAUCAGAUGUCCCACUAUUGAAAACAACUUAUAAGUACGGAGGCUCCCGUACUUUCGAAAGCGAGCCUAGCGCGCGCUCUCUCUCUCUCUCUCUCUCUCUCUCUCUAUAUAUAUAUAUAUAUAUAUAUAUAUAUAUAUAUAUAAAUACUGAAAUUGAUAAAAUUGUACAAAACUUAUGAGUUUGAUUUUACUAUUCAGUCUUUUAAUUUAUUUAAUUUGAGUUACGAAAUGACAUCUUGACUUCAAAAUUUAAAUCAUUAUUCAUUUUAGUAAAUUUAUAGUCACAAAAAUUACAUAAAAUAUACAAACUAAAUAUAUAAAAAUAAACAGACAUAUUUAGAUUUUAAAAUCAAAAUAUCGUUGAUUGAUUGAAAUCAAACAAAUCGAAAGAAUAAAAUUGCAAAAAUCAAAAUUUUAAAAGAUAAAAUAGCUAAAUUAAAAUGGUCUAUAAUUUUGAUAAGAUUUAUACAUUUCCACCUACUAAAAUUUACUUGUCUAGCAU
rnacentral:lncRNA from 1 species